UACGGGGGGGGCAAGCGUUGUUCGGAAUUACUGGGCGUAAAGGGCUCGUAGGUGGCCAACUAAGUCAGACGUGAAAUCCCUCAGCUUAACUGGGGAACUGCGUCUGAUACUGGAUGGCUUGAGUUUGGGAGAGGGAUGCGGAAUUCCAGGUGUAGCGGUGAAAUGCGUAGAUAUCUGGAGGAACACCGGAGGCGAAGGCGGCUCACUGGGGCUUUUCUGACGCUGAGGAACGAAAGCCAGGGUAGCGAACGGG
rnacentral:rRNA from 1 species